GAUUUGUAGAACUUAGAAGAGAUGUCUGCAACUGCAACCUUCACUCUCCCUAUCAUAGAUCUCUUUCCAUCCGUCAGAUAACAUUUUUCUUGGACCCUCAUCCCGAUUGUGUGGUGGAAUGCCUUGAAAGUUGCCGUAGCGAAUCAUCUGGCCUCCAAGGUUUCACUACAGAUUCUCUCCAAUCCGCAGUGGAGACUAUCUGAAUGAGCGUUUCAAAAUGUUGUUCAUUAAUGUAUUCAAAAGAGCUUAAGCUUUUAUAUAUAUGGGGUUGUAACUUGUAAACAUAUAAGCAUGUUAGGGGCAAAGACUCACUUGAAGACCUUAUGCUUCAAUUUAAGUACUUCCUCGCGUAUUAUGGCUCAAACCAUAUAAAAUGGACCCGUGUUAUUAAUAUUUGUGUUGUUUUAUUUAGUUAAUACUCAAACAGGUCUAUGCUGUAGAUCAAUGGUCGAAAGUGGAAACCUAUUCAGGCUUAACGGUGUAUUUUUAAUUAAGUUUGUUAUCAUUUAAUUUGUUUUUAAUAUAUUUUUUAUCAUCAUAACUUUGAUGCGAAAUAUCAUACUUUUAUUGAUAAUUAAUCUUUAAAAACUUAAUUUGUUUUUAAUUG